rnacentral:rRNA from 1 species
GACGUAGGGCGCGAGCGUUGUCCGGAUUUAUUGGGCGUAAAGAGCUCGUAGGCGGCUUGUCGCGUCGACUGUGAAAUCCCGCGGCUCAACUGCGGGUCUGCAGUCGAUACGGGCAGGCUAGAGUUCGGUAGGGGAGACUGGAAUUCCUGGUGUAGCGGUGAAAUGCGCAGAUAUCAGGAAGAACACCCGUGGCGAAGGCGGCUCUCUGGGACGGUACUGACGCUGAGACGCGAGAGCGUGGGGAGCGAACAGG